rnacentral:rRNA from 1 species
UACGUAGGGGCGCAAGCGUUAUCCGGAAUUACUGGGCGUAAAGAGCUCGUAGGUGGUUUGUCGCGUUGUUCGUGAAAACUCACAGCUUAACUGUGGGCGUGCGGGCGAUACGGGCGAGACUUGAGUACUGCAGGGGAGACUGGAAUUCCUGGUGUAGCGGUGGAAUGCGUAGAUAUCGGGAGGAACACCUGGUGGCGAAAGCGGCUCACUGGACCACAACUGACGCUGAGGCGCGAAAGCUAGGGGAGCAAACAGG